ACGAACGCUGGCGGCGUGCCUAAUACAUGCAAGUCGAGCGGAAUGAUGAAGAAGCUUGCUUCUUCUGAUUUUAGCGGCGGACGGGUGAGUAACACGUGGGCAAUCUGCCCGUAAGACUGGGAUAACUCCGGGAAACCGGGGCUAAUACCGGAUAAUCCUGACUCUCUCCUGAGAGUCAGUUGAAAGAUGGUUUCGGCUAUCACUUACGGAUGAGCCCGCGGCGCAUUAGCUAGUUGGUAGGGUAAUGGCCUACCAAGGCGACGAUGCGUAGCCGACCUGAGAGGGUGAUCGGCCACACUGGGACUGAGGCACGGCCCAGACUCCUACGGGAGGCAGCAGUAGGGAAUCUUCCGCAAUGGACGAAAGUCUGACGGAGCAACGCCGCGUGAGUGAAGAAGGUUUUCGGAUCGUAAAACUCUGUUGUUAGGGAAGAACACGUACGAGAGUAACUGCUCGUACCUUGACGGUACCUAACCAGAAAGCCACGGCUAACUACGUG
rnacentral:rRNA from 1 species